rnacentral:lncRNA from 1 species
CACAAGUUUACAAUAGUUAAUAAGCUAUUGCAGUAAUCCACAGGAGAGAUAAUAGUGGCUUGAGCUGGCUGCAGGGGGAGAGAAGUGGUCAAAUCUUUAUAUAUUUUAAAGAUAGAUCUUUUAAAUUUUGCUGGCAGAUUGCAUGUGGGAUAAGGAGGGGAAAAGAGUUAAGAAUAAUACCAAGGUUUCUGUCCAAAGCAACAGGAAGAUAAAAAUUUGUAUAUACUAUAAAAAGGAAAAACAUUCUAUUUACUGAGAUAGAGAAGACUAUGGAUAAAGCAGGUUUUAGGGUGAGGUAUAGCACAAGAGUUCAAUUUUAAACAUAUUAAAUUUGAGAUGCCUAUUAGAUAUCUGAGUGGAGAUGUUAACUAGGAAGCCACAUACAGUAUUUGACUCAAGUUUAGGGGGAUAGGUCCUUGGAGAAGAUGUAAAUUUGAGAGCAAUCAGUGUAUAGUUUAUAUUUAAAGCCUUGGGACUGGAUGGAAUAAAAAGAGUGGAUAUACAGAAAAAUAGAAGAGGUUCAAAGACCUCUGAGGGAUUGACUUCUGGAAUCCCUCAAGUGGUUAGCUCUGCUAACCCACUUUCCAGAAAAACUGGUGAAAAUUAUUUAGAAAACAAAACACUUAAAGCCUCCGGAAAUGGUCCUAAGGUCAAACGGUAAGUGAAGAAAUAUCUGCUCAAGUCUGUGGCAUAUGAAUCAAGCCUGCUCUCUCUUUCCUCCUCCCAGAUCAGCAAGGUAGAAACUUCACUCCAGGCUACAGCAGCCAAGAAUAUAGGACUCCCUCUCCCCCAUCUGGAAGCAUUCUUCUUGGGAGGAGUAAAACCACAUUUCUCAUUCUGCACCCAGCUGCUGGUUGCUGAGGCUAUUUUCCAGGUAAUUGUGGUCAAGAGCUGCUACCACCAGCACCACAACCUACAAGUAGACUCAGGAAAUUAUCCAGCCAUUCUUGCUUUGUUCCUUAUCUUAGAGGGAAAAGUUCUUAUUUCUCACCAGUAAGUAUGAUGUUAGCUGUGCAUUUUGUGUAUAUAUUCUUAUGAAGUUGAAGAAGUUCCCUUCUAUUCUGAAUUUGCUGAGAUUUGUUUUCAUGGGAGUUGAAUUUUGUCAAAUAUUUUUUUCUGUGCUUAUUGAAUAUGAUUAUGUAAUUUUUCUUCUUUAGCUUAUUGAUGUGAUUUAUUAUAUUAAUUGAUUUUCAAAUGUUGAACUAACUUUGCAUGCCUGGGAAAAUUACCACUUGAUUGUGGUAUAUAGUUAUUUUUCUAUAUUGUUAGAUUUGAUAUGUUAAUGUUUUAUUGAGAAUUUUUGCAUUUAUGCUCAUCAGAAAUAUUGGUCUAUAGUUUUAUUUUCUUGUAAUGUCUUUGAUUUUGUUAUUAUGGUAAUGCUGGCUUUAUAAUAUGAAUUAGAAAUUAUCUUUGCUUUUAUCUUCUGAAAAAUAUUACAAAUAAU